CACCACACCGGACACAGCAACUCAGCUGGGCUCGUGACAUCGAUAUUUGGACCCUGGAGGACUGGCAACAUUUGGCGUAGUCCGAUGAGUCAUGGUUCCAGUUGUUCCUGACAUGAACCUAAUUGAGGAUUUAUGGGAUGUGGUGGAGAGGGCCAAUCACCCGUAAAAUAUACUGCACAUACAAAAUUAUAGGGAGCUGUGGGAAGCGAUCCAGAUGGCAUGGGCCUCCAGAGAUCUUCCGUCCACUUGUGGAAGCAAUGCCACAGAGUUGCAGCACUUCGUUGGGCUAGAGGGGAUCCUACAUGAUACUAGGCAAUUAUCCCAUGACUUUUGGAACUUCAGUGUACUGUAUGCUUCAAUAAAUGAUGCUUUUUUCUGUUUUGGGUCCACUGUGAAAUAGCAAAAUUGUGAAGAAAAAAAAUAGGAUUUUAAUUACCUACAGAUCCAGAGGGAAAUACAAAGUUCAUCAAAAGAUUUACGAUACCAUAUAUACAAUCACUUCAUGCAAACAUAAAUAAAGUCUGCUUAUCAAAGCAGACAGAAUGACCUUCAUGGUAGAAGAGACCAGGAAAGGGAUACAUAUAUAACCAUUUCCUAAAGGAAGGCUGUGUCAUUUUCAUGUGCAUAAGACUAGAUGUUAUCCAGAGCUUCAAAAAAGCCUGUCUACUUUCUGGUCAGUGAACUGCACAAUAAACUGGAUACCAGAGGAGCAGCAAACAGGACCGCACAUCUAAGGCAUAUAAGAUAUUCAGUACAGGAGCACGUGAGCAAUGCCAGAGUUGACAUGCAAUUAAUGAUUGCUGCUAUUGAUUGACAUUUUACUUACAUGCCACUUUAAUACAGCUCUGCAGCCAGUACAGUGUUGAAAUAUAUACUGUAUGUAUUAUGCAAGGGCCAUGUAUCUACUAUGCCUACUAAAUGGUGUACUACAAUUUGCCGGCUGUCGGAAAUCCCGACGCCCAGCAUACAGACGCCGGGAUCCCGACAGUCGGAAUGCAGGCAGCGGGGUGAGCGCAAAAGAGCCCCUUGUGGGCUCGCCGCGCUGUGGGCACAGUGGCGACACACUAUUUAUUCUCCCUCCAGGGGUGUUGUGGACACCCCAAGAGGGAGAAAAGUUGAGAUUCCGGCUGUCAGGAUCCCAAAACCGGUAUGCUGAGCGCCAGGAUCCCUGCAGCCGGUAUAACAAAUGCCACCCCUACUAAAUAAUGUCUGAAUAUAAUUGCGUUUAACAUGUUUAUUGAUUUGUAUUACCUCUUUAUGAUAUCAGUCACCAAUUAAAUAC